rnacentral:rRNA from 1 species
GAUGAACGCUGGCGGCGUGCCUAAUACAUGCAAGUCGAGCGAACGGACGAGAAGCUUGCUUCUCUGAUGUUAGCGGCGGACGGGUGAGUAACACGUGGAUAACCUACCUAUAAGACUGGGAUAACUUCGGGAAACCGGAGCUAAUACCGGAUGAUAUUUUGAACCGCAUGGUUCAAAAGUGAAAGACGGUCUUGCUGUCACUUAUAGAUGGAUCCGCGCUGCAUUAGCUAGUUGGUAAGGUAACGGCUUACCAAGGCAACGAUGCAUAGCCGACCUGAGAGGGUGAACGGGCACACUGGAAAUGGGACACGGGCCAGGAUCCUACGGGGAGCAGGAGGAGGGAAUCUUCCGCAAAGGGCGAAAGCCUGACGGAGCAACGCCGCGUGAGUGAUGAAGGUCUUCGGAUCGUAAAACUCUGUUAUUAGGGAAGAACAUAUGUGUAAGUAACUGUGCACAUCUUGACGGUACCUAAUCAGAAAGCCACGGCUAACUACGU